AUUAGUGAAAACAAAGUCUCACUCCUGACAUGUUUGUUUUUCAGUGACAAACGUCGAAAUACACUUCUGUGCAUGGGCAGGUGGCGUUUGUGUUUAGACAACGUUUUAGUUUCCAAUAGUCGAACAGCUUAAAGAUGAAUAAGGUACAUUGCCGAAACAUGGCCAUAAUAUUUAUAUAUGGCUUAUUUUUCGUUUUACAACUUAAACGGCAUGUAACAUGCUCAAACCACGCCAUCUUUCGUAGAAACGAACAAAAGUACUUGGUGAAUCACGUCAUUGAAACGGUGGAGACUUUCAGCGAGCUGGAAUGUGGUAUGCAUUGCGCCGCGCGUGAAUCCUGUACGUCGGUAAAUUACAAAACUUCUGAAAUCGGUAAAGGUCGCUGUGAGCUGAACCGGAAGACACCUUUGAGAUCAUCUAGCGACGACGAAGUAAUGAGCCAUGAAUUCAACCAUCUUUACGUCGUUUUUAGAGUCCCGAAACCUUCAAUAAUGACAACUAUGUGCUUGGACGAAGACUGGCGAAAUAGUUUCGGCGGGAAGGGUUGGUCAAAAUGUCAUGAACAAAAUCUUUUCAUCACAGCACUCUACCGAAUUACUAAUGCCAGCAGUCGAAUUGGUAUCGGUAAACUUCAAAAGGCAAGAUGUUGCGGUUCCACACAAGCGUUUAGCGGUCAAAGUGGCGUCUGUAAAACAGCUGACUGGCGAACUUCUAUGGACACAAGUUACAGUUGGAGCCUAUGCCCCAUGGGUUACUUCUUAAGCGGAUUAUAUCGCAACGAUGGCAUAAAAUUAGGAAACAUCACCCAUGCCCAUUGCUGCAGACCCAGUCAUCAUCCCGAGAAUUAUGAAUCAUGUUAUGAGGAGAAUGUUCGAACAUCGUUCGAAAGACAAGGAUGGUCAAGCUGUUCCCAGGUCAGACAUUACAUAACUGGACUUUAUCGUGGACGUUCUAGUUCCCUAAGCUAUAUCAACAAAUUUCAAUGUUGCCAAAUGGCUAAAUAGACAAAGCAAUCACGCCUUUCGGACAAACGGCCCCAGGAGUGAAAUUAUGGAACGGUUUCAUGAUGUUGCAUUUUAUUUCUGUAAGAAUCCAUAUAUUAAUUUCCA